rnacentral:lncRNA from 1 species
CUGCUGCCCUGCACACGGUGUCACUGGGGCACCGCUGAGCCUGCUGCCCUGCACACGGUGUCUUUUGUUUUAACUUGCCACCAUUUCUGAUUCAUGCACUGGAUAAAAUGUUGGUAGAAAUCUACCUGUGCCUGUUCCAAAUUCUCUUGAGAAAUGACUAUUGCUGCUGACAGAUCCCUUGGAAAAGGUGGGAGCAGGUUUUGCACAGAGAAGCAGAUUUUGCUAACCAGAGCUGCACUGUCCUGAUGACGAAUUAAUUCUGUCUUCCACCCACACAACACGUACAGCUCGUAAUAUGGAGGAGUCAGCCACAAGAGAAGAAAAAACAGACAACCAAUUGUACAAUCCAAGCCCCUUCCUAAAAUGAUCCAAACUCAUCCUUUGUACAGAAGUACUGGAAGCUGGGUUCUUACUCUGGGAAGAGCAUCAUCAAAGCACUCCUAAAGAACUGUAUUUCCCUUGGUGCUGAGGAUGAAUAAUGUUCUUCACCUGGUGGAAGGAAACUCGGGCCGCAACAGUAGUCCAGUGGAUGAUGGAUGAGGAGCUGCACUGUGGGAUGCAGUCCCAGAAGUCAGCCAUCGGAGCUCAGCAUGUUCUUCUGGCACUGCUUCUUGCUCUUGUUGCUUGUGGGAGAUUGCCAAGAAACAAUCAUAAAUAACCAGGAGAGAAAGAACUGUCUUACCUCACAGUCAGCUUUUGCACAUACUCUUGUCUUCACUUGGACCUAGAAGCUCUUUCUAGAGUAGUUCAGUCUCUUCCAGAGAAAACAAAGUGUUACCAAAGAGCAGGGACUCUUCUGAAAGGAUGUGGAAUGCCUUUUGACAGGUAUUACACUAAAACUCUAUGAAAGACUUGUAACAUUUUUUGUCAUUUUAAGCAGGCAGCCAGGAUGUGAAAUACAGUGGAUAACAGAUACCUUUCCCAGUUCCUGGAAUGGAAGCUACUUAGGGCUUACCUGGAAGAGAUGUUCACCCAGAACCAUGAGACAGGUGUCAUUGCUGCAGUUCUCCUCACCUGCUGAAACAUGGGAGCCAAAGGCUUCAUCAACCAGAAGCCCACCAGGCCCAGAGAACAGCAACCUCGACCAUCAGUGCCCAGAAAGCAACAAGAAGCCCUUGGGGCAGUCCACAAUAUUAUAUGAUUACUCAGAGGAGGAGCUCAUGGCAAGCAUCGAGCGGGAGUACUGCCGCUGA